rnacentral:lncRNA from 1 species
AGGACUUUUGAUAACAGUUUCAAGAUUGUCAGCAUUUUGCAUUGGACUUGAGCUGAGGUGCUUUUAAAAUCCUAACGACUAGCAUUGGCAGCUGACCCAGGCAUUCAGUGAACUAGGAAGACAGGAGCGGCAGACAGGAGUCCCGAAGCCAGUUUGGUGAAGCUAGGAAGGACUGAGGAGCCAGCAGCAGCAGUGCAUGGUGAAGAUAGCCCAGGAAAGAGUGCGGUUCGGUGGAGGAAGCUAGGAAGAAGGAGCCAUACGGAUGUGGUGGUGAAGCUGGGAAAGGGUUCCAGGAUGGUGGAGCGAGAGCGAGUUGGUGAUGAAGCUAGCUGGCGGCUUGGCUUGUCAACUGCGCGGAGGAGGCGAGCAGGCAUUGUGGAGAGGAUAGAUAGCGGCUCCUAGACCAGCAUGCCAGUGUGCAAGAAAGGCUGCAGGGAGAGCAUGCGGUGCGGUAACAUUCCUUGAGGUCGGCAACAUGGUGGUGGUUUUCUGUAACUUGGAUGGUAACUUGUUUACUUUGUCUUAAUAGUUAUGGGGGAGUUGUAGGCUUCUGUGUAAAGAGAUAUAUCUGGGGCUGUAUGUAGGCCUUUGCGGGUGUUGUAGGUUUUUCUUUUUCAGGGUUAUGUCCUCUUGCAUCUUGUCAGAAGCUUUUGAGGGCUGACUGCCAAGGCCCAGAAAGAAGAAUGGUAGAUGAGAAAGUCAGGGGUCUAAUUUGACCAUGGCUAAACAUCUAGGCAUAUCGGUUUCAAGCGGUGUGGUGCAAGCAUGGUCGGUCACUGAAAAAAGAAAACCCACUUAGGUUUCACAGGCUUGAAGAGCUG